rnacentral:tRNA from 1 species
GCGGGCGUCAUCGUAUAAUGGCUAUUAUAGUAGCUUCCCAAGCUACUGAUGUGGGUUCGAUUCCCAUCGCCCGCU